rfam:Dipodomys ordii contig_34061, whole genome shotgun sequence.
GGGAAGCUGGCUCAGUGGUAGAGCGCUUGCCUUGCAUGCAUGAAGACCUGGGUUCGAUUCCCCAGCAUCACA